rnacentral:rRNA from 1 species
UACGUAGGGGCUAGCGUUAUCCGGAAUUACUGGGCGUAAAGGGUGCGUAGGUGGUUUCUUAAGUCAGAGGUGAAAGGCUACGGCUCAACCGUAGUAAGCCUUUGAAACUGGGAAACUUGAGUGCAGGAGAGGAGAGUGGAAUUCCUAGUGUAGCGGUGAAAUGCGUAGAUAUUAGGAGGAACACCAGUUGCGAAGGCGGCUCUCUGGUCUGUAACUGACGCUGAGGCGCGAAAGCGUGGGGAUCGAACAGGAUUAGAUACCCUGGUAGUCCCUGAG